rnacentral:rRNA from 1 species
AUGAACGCUGGCGGCGUGCCUAAUACCUGCAAGUCGAGCGAACAGACGAGGAGCUUGCUCCUCUGACGUUAGCGGCGGACGGGUGAGUAACACGUGGAUAACCUACCUAUAAGACUGGGAUAACUUCGGGAAACCGGAGCUAAUACCGGAUAAUAUAUUGAACCGCAUGGUUCAAUAGUGAAAGACGGUUUUGCUGUCACUUAUAGAUGGAUCCGCGCCACAUUAGCUAGUUGGUAAGGUAACGGCUUACCAAGGCGACGAUGCGUAGCCGACCUGAGAGGGUGAUCGGCCACACUGGAACUGAGACACGGUCCAGACUCCUACGGGAGGCAGCAGUAGGGAAUCUUCCGCAAUGGGCGAAAGCCUGACGGAGCAACGCCGCGUGAGUGAUGAAGGUCUUCGGAUCGUAAAACUCUGUUAUUAGGGAAGAACAAAUGUGUAAGUAACUAUGCACGUCUUGACGGUACCUAAUCAGAAAGCCACGGCUAACUACGUG